AAGUCGUGUUGAGGACAAUUUCUUUGAAGACCUUUAUACCAUUCCUAAGCUUUGUAUAAGGAGUCCACCAUUUGUUGUUCGAAAUUUGCUAUAUUUUUCUUCGAUUUU